rnacentral:tRNA from 1 species
GCUUCUGUGGCUCAGUCGGCAGAGCGAACGGCUGUUAACCGUUAGGUCCUUGGUUCGAUCCCAAGCAGAAGCG